AAUUAAAGGUUUAUUUUAUGGUGAUAAAAAAAAUAUUUUUUAUUUUAGUAUUGUUAAAGAAUUAAGUUAUUUAAUUAUAGAGUAUUAGUAUAGUGAUAGAAUAUUGAAAUAUAGGAAGUUUAAUUGUUUAAAAGAAGUAUUAAUUUUGUGUACCUUGUGUUUCAGGGUUUAUUAAAAGUUUAUUAAGAAUUUAAUAGUCUCGAAUUAUAAAGAGCUAAUAUUAUAUAUAUAUAAUUGUAACAUAAAUUUUUAUCAUAUAAUAUUAGAAAUGAAACGUUAGUCGUUUUUUAAGAUAUCUAGUUUUUUAAGAAAUGAAUUCAAUUCAGUUAUUUAAAAAGUAUACAUUAAUUGUUUAAUGUAUAUAUUUAAGUAAGUAAUAUUUUAAGGGAUAAGCUUUAAAGUAAAUUUUUAUAAUAUAAGUUUUAAGGAUGAAAAUUAGUAGGAUUGAAAGUUUUUAACUUUAGUGUGUUAUAAUUAGUUUUUAUUGUAAUAAGAUUUAUAUAGUAUUUAAUUUAUCUAUUAAAAUUAGUUAGUGAAUUUGGUUAUAUGUGUAAUAAUGAUAGAAUUAGUAUAAUUUAUUGUAUCUAUAAAUUGAGGUAUAGAGGUUAAAUUAAGGAACUCGGCAAAUUUAUUUCUCGCCUGUUUAUUAAAAACAUGUCUUUUUGAUAAUAAUUUAAAGUCUGGCCUGCCCAAUGAGGAGUUGAAUGGCCGCGGUAAUUUGACCGUGCAAAGGUAGCAUAAUCAUUAGUUUUUUAAUUGAAAGCUGGUAUGAAUGGUCGGACGAGGGAAUAACUGUCUCAAUUUAAUUUAAUUAGAAUUUUAUUUUUAAGUAAAAAAGCUUAGAUGUAUUUAAAAGACGAGAAGACCCUAUAGAGUUUAAUAUAUUGUUGUUUAUUUUUAUUAUAGUAUAUACAUUAAAUGUAUGCAUUAAUGUAUUUUGUUGGGGUGACAGGAAAAUUGAAUAAACUUUUUUUUUAUUAUAUCAUUGAUAUAUGAAUUAUUGAUCCGUAUUUUACGAUUAUAAGAUUAAAUUACCUUAGGGAUAACAGCGUAAUUUUUUUUGAGAGUUCUAAUCGAAAAAAGAGUUUGCGACCUCGAUGUUGGAUUAAAAUUAAUUUCUGGUGUAGAAGCUAGAAGAUUAGGUCUGUUCGACCUUUAAAAUUUUACAUGAUCUGAGUUUAAACCGGCGUGAGCCAGGUUGGUUUCUAUCUUUAAAUAAAUUGAAUACUUUAGUACGAAAGGACCAAGUAUUCGUAAUAGUUAUUAUAUUUUGAUUAUUAUUAAAA
rnacentral:rRNA from 1 species